AACGCGAAGAACCUUACCUGGUCUUGGCCUGCAGAGUAAUGGAUGCGGCCAAAUUGGUGCCUUCGGGAACUGUGAGACAGGUGCUGCAUGGCUGUCGUCAGCUCGUGUUGUGAAAUGUUGGGUUAAGUCCCGCAACGAGCGCAACCCUUAUCCUUUGUUGCCAGCGGUUAGGCCGGGAACUCAAAGGAGACUGCCAGUGAUAAACUGGAGGAAGGUGGGGAUGACGUCAAGUCAUCAUGGCCCUUACGACCAGGGCUACACACGUGCUACAAUGGCGCAUACAAAGAGAAGCGACCUCGCGAGAGCAAGCGGACCUCAUAAAGUGCGUCGUAGUCCGGAUUGGAGUCUGCAACUCGACUCCGUGAAGCCGGAUUCGCUAGUAAUCGUAGAUCAGAAUGCUACGGUGAAUACGUUCCCGGGUCUUGUACACACCG
rnacentral:rRNA from 1 species